rnacentral:rRNA from 1 species
UUUGGUUAAGUUAGAAAGGGCGCACGGUGGAUGCCUUGACACUAGGAGUCGAUGAAGGACGGGACUAACGCCGAUAUGCUUCGGGGAGCUGUAAGUAAGCUUUGAUCCGAAGAUUUCCGAAUGGGGAAACCCACUAUACGUAAUGGUAUGGUAUCCUUACCUGAAUACAUAGGGUAUGGAAGACAGACCCAGGGAACUGAAACAUCUAAGUACCUGGAGGAAGAGAAAGCAAAUGCGAUUUCCUGAGUAGCGGCGAGCGAAACGGAAUCUAGCCCAAACCAAGAGGCUUGCCUCUUGGGGUUGUAGGACAUUCUAUACGGAGUUACAAAGGAACGAGGUAGACGAAGCGACCUGGAAAGGUCCGUCACAGAGGGUAAUAACCCCGUAGUCGAAACUUCGUUCUCUCUUGAAUGUAUCCUGAGUACGGCGGAACACGUGAAAUUCCGUCGGAAUCUGGGAGGACCAUCUCCCAAGGCUAAAUACUCCCUAGUGAUCGAUAGUGAACCAGUACCGUGAGGGAAAGGUGAAAAGCACCCCGGAAGGGGAGUGAAAGAGAUCCUGAAACCGUGUGCCUACAAAUAGUCAGAGCCCGUUAAUGGGUGAUGGCGUGCCUUUUGUAGAAUGAACCGGCGAGUUACGAUCCCGUGCGAGGUUAAGCUGAAGAGGCGGAGCCGCAGCGAAAGCGAGUCUGAAUAGGGCGUUUAGUACGUGGUCGUAGACCCGAAACCAGGUGAUCUACCCAUGUCCAGGGUGAAGUUCAGGUAACACUGAAUGGAGGCCCGAACCCACGCACGUUGAAAAGUGCGGGGAUGAGGUGUGGGUAGCGGAGAAAUUCCAAUCGAACCUGGAGAUAGCUGGUUCUCCCCGAAAUAGCUUUAGGGCUAGCCU